CCCUCCUGCCAUCUUCUCGGAUGA
rnacentral:piRNA from 1 species